CGAGACAUGAACUUUGGUCUUCUCUGCAAUCCAUCUGGAGCAUUCAGUGACAACGUCGACUUUGAAGUUGCACUGACCUGGCCAGCCCUGUCACUUACCAGGUUGCUCUGUAUGGCUAAGAGUUUUCUCCUAAAAUCCCUUGAAAACUGUGAGAAGACCAUAAGAAGAUCAUAUCUUUAAUUCUAUUUCACAAGUCACACAAUAUUCCAGUCAAAUACAGAUGGUUGAGAAAAGUCAUCCAUCUUCCCUCCCCACCCUCCCACAGCCCCUCAACCAGUGCCCUGAAACUUAUAUGCUGUUAUCCGCAGCUCCGUCUGGAGCAUCACAGCUACUGUCAACCCUGACGCUCUUUCUAAGAAAACAACGGAUGGACAUCAGAACUAUUUCUUUAAGGAUGUUACUGAGCCACACAGGAAAACUUGCCUUAUGAUUUUGGAUGCACGGAUCUGAUUUGACUAAACAUGAUAACUAGAGAAUCACCCAAUCUACUCCCAUUUUCAACUCUAAAUCAUCAGAUUAUCUCAAAUCCAAAGCACACACAGACCAGCCUGGCCAACGCGGUGAAACUCCACCCCUACUAAAAGUAUAAAAAUUAUCCAGGUGUGGUGGUGGGUGCCUGUAAUCCAAGCUACUUGGGAGUCUGAGGCAGGAGAAUCCCUUGAACCUGGGAGAUGGAGGUUGCAGUGAGCAGAGAUCACACCACUGCACUCUAGCCUGGGCCACAAAUCAACAACAACAACAACAACAAAAAACAAAGCGCACACAGAGACUGAGGUCCUCUUUGGCAUUGAGAAGAUGGCUAUGCAAGUCCCGACUAGCAAGUGCAAACUUCCCAGCUUCACCUCUGCCAGUGUCCCUUCACCCCUUCUCAAGCCCACUGGGAGGCAGGAGGGUGCUUGACAAUAAUAGCCUUGGCAUCACACUGCCAGGGUGUAAUAGGAACUGUUACAAUUCUGAGAUUCUGUGUAAGCACUGGCCUUUCUGCCUAGAAUGCCUUCUCCUCUCUUUUUUAACUGCAUGCUCCUAUUUAUCUUUCAAAGCCCUGAAAAAAUAACACUGCACACGGGAAAUGCUCCCUUUCUACUGCAGUCAUUUAGAUGAUUCUAUGCCAUUCCAUUCAUUUCUCUUUCCUACCACAGAAGUGCUUUGAGAUUUUGGAGUCAGACUGCUUGAACUUGAAUCCUGGCCCUCUCAUCAGAGACUUGACUUAUUCUAGGCAAGUUAUAUAACCAAUUUUACUCUCAGUUCCUUACCCAUAAAAUGGGUCUAAUGAGAGUACCUACCACACAGAAUUUUGAUGAAAACUAAAUGAGAUGAAGGCCUUUAAGGCAGUGGUCCCCAACCCUGGGGACACAGACAGGUACCAGUUUGUGGCCUGUUAGGAACUGGGCCACACAGCAGGAGGUGAGCAGUGGGUGAGUGAGAUCAGCAUUAUUUACAGCUACUCCCCAUUGCUCACCUUACUGCUUGAGCUCCACCUCCUGUCAGAUCAGCAGUGGCAUUAAAUUCUCAUAGGAGCACAAACCCUGUCAUGAACUGCACAUGCGAGGGAUCUAGGUUGUGCGCUCCUUAUGAGAAUCUAAUGCCUAAUGACCUGUCACAGUCUCCCGUCACCCCUAGAUGGGAGUGUCUAGUUGCAGGAAACAAGCUCAGGGCUUCCACUGAUUCUACAUUAUGGUGAGUUGUAUAAUUAUUUCAUUAUAUAAUACAAUGUAAUAAUAAUAGAAACACAGUGCACAACAAAUGUAAUGUGCUUGAAUCAUCCCCAAAGCAUCCCAGUCCGUGGUCUUCCACAUUUUGUCUUUUCACAAAAUUGUCUUCCACAAAACUGGUCCCUGGUGCCAAAAAGGCUUGGGACCACUGCUUUAAAGCCUUUGCAUAGUGCUUACAAUUGAGGGGGGGAAAAAAACAAAAACAACGUAGCUAGUUGCUACAAUCACUAUAUUGGUGAGUUUCAAAAGGAAAAGAAUUCUGUCCCAUUUAUGCUUGAGCCUUGAGUUGCUAACCAAGCCUGACACAAAAUUACUGUUGAAGGAAUGUGUGAGUCCUAAUUGAAAUGAGGCCACUUAAGGGAAUUGUGCUGUGGCUUGCCUUUUCACUUCUUGUGUCCUGUUUAAGAAAUUGUAAUUUGAUCAGACUCCAGACUAUCUUAUGCCUCUUUGCUUUUGUUUACCUGUUACUUCUCUCUGGAAUUCCCUGCCCCUUCUUAAUUUUUCUGGCCAAUUCUCACUCUCUAGGACUCAGAGGUUUCUCCUCAGGAGACUUCCAUGAGUCUCAUGUUGAGUUAGGUGACCCCAAUCCUCUGUUCUUCAUAGUCAUUCGCGCAUUUAUCUAGCUCAGCAUUUGCCAUACUACAUUGAAAUUAUUUCCUUAUGUGCCCAUCACUCCCCGCAGAUUGCAAACUCCUAGAGAAGGGCUCAACAGUGAGUGCUGAGGCUGCACAGAGGAGGAAGGCAGCACAAUGAUGGAAGGCUUCCUAAAGAAUAACACUAACAAAGUUGCCCUUAGAAUUGGAGUGCCUGGGUUAGAACCCUGCUGGUACCACCUGCUUACGCAUGCUGCUGAUGUGAGUUCAGGAGAAGACACUGGCAAGGACAGCAAAGAACAGGAGAACACUCUAGCUUCCCUGACAGCAUUCAAGGUGCUGUCCAACUGACUGUGAUGGCACCCUCCAGACAGACAGCGAUGCCACAUGUUCAAGAUGGCAGAAUCACUAUCAGCUUCAAUUCCUGAAUGACUGCAGAGCAAAAUUUCUUACCUGCAACAUACACUCUAUUUUCAGCCUCCCUGGACUGUUACAACAUAAUGAUACAUAAAAAUAUUUCUUGUGUUGAGGCAUCCCAAAUUUGAUCUAUUUGUCAUCACAGUCUAUCCUACAAAUAUAUUUCUGAUCCAAAUAAUGCUAGAUUCAUGAGGGUCUGCCCUCAGGGGAAGCUAUCUAACCAGAGCCUGACCCACUAGGGUUUUAUCAGAACCUAACUGACCUGAGGAAAAGAAACAUUCAACUCCAGCCUUCCAAAUGGAGGAGGAGAAAACCCAACUCCAGCCCACUUCAGCUAUCUUGUCCCACAUAAAGGGGAAGUGGAAGAAACCUGAGAAGCAGGCAUGAAGUUCACAGUCCAGAUGUAUUCCACACCAUUUCAUAUUCCAUCGCAUUCCAUUCUACACAAUUCCACAUCUCCCUGGCCACAUCAGCCUGAGAGUAACAAACAGGUAGCAAUUGACACAUUUCUUUUGCUCCAUCCCCACCUACUUUCUGUGAAUACUUUCCCCUUAAAUUCUUCCUGAACCUUGCCAUCGUAUCCCCUUUUGGAGACACAAGUCAGGAAGGAAGCUCUUCAGUGCAGCUGUGAAUAGAGAAAUGCUGGCUGAGGUUUUGGAGACACUGGGUGAUCAUUCCCAGUGAAAUUUUUAGAUCCCUGGGGACAUGAGCUGCUUUGUCUUUUCCAAGAUCAGGAUAAACAGAAUAACUUCAGGCUUCUCUACCCAGAAAGAACAUGUGGCAUAAAUAUCAACUGCAGAAUAAAUACGAUUAAUCUGGUACACGGACGAAGAUGUUUUCUAGGAGAUGCUUAUCCUGGGAUGAGAGCUUUCAUAAGCAUUGAUAUUUACAUGACUCUUACUGUGUGUCAGGAACUGUUCUAAUUGUUUUGCUGAAAAAGUUUUGGAAGCCCUCUUAAGCAGCUGCCAGACCCUUUUUUGGCCAGAUUCUUAAGCUAUCUUUGUCAGGCCUGCAAAAAUGGAUAGGGGACACCAGCCAUUAAAAAUUUGAUUGGUUUUGCUGACUCUGAUGAUCUAGACAGCUACAAGAGCUUUAAGGUAUGGGUCAAAAAAGAACCUCUAAAAAACAAAAAACCUUGUUUCUUUAAAUAAGUUCUGAGCAGAAAUAGUGGAUUACUUAUUUAUUUGGAAAAGCAGGUAAGAGAAGAAAUGUUUAGACAGUUUUUUUCCCUAAGGAAAUUCAAUUCAAUCAAUAAUUUGAAUCGGUUUCAGAUCUUUUUCUUUAGGUAAUGAGGAAAAAUUGUGAUAGGGGUACAAAGUUUUAAUGUUCAGGAAAGACUAGCUUUGUCCUUAAAAGAAAUUAUAUUGACUGGGAUUUCUCUCAGACUACGUUAGUUGUAUUUACCACUAUCAAAACUAAGUGACAUUCAUUUGGAUUAAGUAGAAGUAAAAAUGUCAGGCUUUCUAGUGAUUCUUUUUUAUUCCUAAUCUGUUAUCACUAUUAGGCCUUAAUGUGUGUACUUGAAAACGAAAUAUAUUCUAGUAUUAUUCUGUUUUGAAGAUCCUGGAGUUGAAAUCCACCUAACAGUUGUCAGUACCAUAUCUAGAAACCAGUCUUGGAAGUGUAUGAUUAUGCUCUUUUAAAAUAGCAGAAAAAAAUAUUCUGUGCUUGUUUUUACUUUGUCCCUGUUUCACUGUAUAGUAUUUAAGCAAAAAGAGAUUAUUUAUCUUCAUAUUGAAUUUCCAAAACCGAUAUUUGCAUUUACUAUUUUCUUAAAUGAUGGAGAAUAAAGUUAAUUGUCUUACUUGGAUAAGUUUGGCAUUGGACCUAUCAUAUUUUUGAUGCUUUGGGUCACAGUUCUGUCACUACAAUGUUAGAAAUUAGAUAUAUGCAAGGAAUAAUCUAGCCACUUUAAUACAGUGAUUUAAAGUGCUGCAGGCAUUAACUACUAGACACCAAUUCACAGUGCUUUAAUUUGUGACAUGUGAGGGAGAAUGACAGGACUUUCUAUAAUAUAAAUGUCCUAUUAACUAGUCCUUGUACUGUUAAGUUAGGACUUUGACUCUUGGGUCUAAAAAAGGCACAGACUCAUGCCAAAUCUUGAACAUUGACAGCAGUCAAAGCCUUGUUUUCAGACCCAGGAGAAGGUGACAAUCAAAAUGAACAACUUGCCCGAGACACAGGGCUAGAAAUUGAAACUAUUCAAUCCCUGUAGGCCCAGGAACUAUUGUGGAAGAUGUGGGCGCAUGUAAGAUUUUAAGGGCUAAUUUUAAGGGACAAAUUAGUUCAAGGUUUUCUAUAAAUUAAAUGUUAAUAUCAAAAGCACACCAAUGCAAUACCAGUAUCUGGGCCACUGUGAUGGAAUAACACAGUUUUCUUAGAGCAAUGAUUUUAUCUUUAAUAAAAAACAUUGUAAAAGGUUAUAAAAGACUUCUUACCUUAUGAUCAAACUGAUUCAAAUUAGAUUUGUUUAUAAGGUUUUGUUAAAAUUAGCUUUAACAUUAAUGCAUGAGAUUCCUAAAAUUCUGAUGUCUUAAUAUAUGUUAUCAGUAAUAAUUAUGAUUAUGUUUGGAGGAACUGGUUACUUUCCCAGGGCUUUGACUGAAAUGGCCUUGUGAAUGGUUCCAGGAAAGCCAAUUUUGGAGACCCUAUGUGGAUGAUGAUGCUUGCUGUACUUUCUGUGGGUAAUCGGGCCAAGUAUAUGAGACUGAAGCUAAUUUUUCAUUUCUUUCUCAGGAAACCAACCUUCACACCUCCCAGACAGUAUCAAGGAGAUGAAACUUACCAGAUCACCGCAUCUGGACAAAGAGAUGCCAGACCCCUCACCCAUGAGGAAUGCCUAACUUUCCACCUACUUCCUGUCAACCAACUUCUCUUCCUUACUCCUCCCUAAUUCCUGUUUUCUUAUACAUGGUUACAUUUCUUCCCUGCUAUGUAAACCCCUAAUUUUAGCUAAUUUGAAAGACAAAUUUGAGACUGAUCUCCUAACUCCUCAGCUGCAACAUCCAAUUAAAGCCUUCUUCCAUGGCAAUACUCAUUGUCUCUUUGAUUGGCAUUCUGUGCUGUGAGCAGCAGGGCCUAGACCAAAUCCCUAGCAUUUUGGUGACAAUAAGUUGGGAUCAUAUGACUGAAUUUGGGGCAAUGCAAUGUGGGUGGAAAUUAUGUAAGCCAUUCUAGGCAUGGUCCUUAAAUCCUGACCCUGCGGCUCUCUUUUCCCUUUCAAGGCAACAUAGAGAGACUUGAGUUCCAGGGGGAAAGUUUUAGGAUGGAGAGAAGCCCUCACUGGACUGUGAUGUGGUGAGAAAAUGGAGGUCCAGAGAGAAAAGUGACUCACCCAAGCUGAAAACAAUUGCAGGAAGUAAAGCCAGGACAGAACUGGGCUGUUAGAAACCUUGAGUACACUAAAGAUGAGGAACUGAGUCACCGCAAUGCCAAAUGUAACACGCCGUGGGUCAAAAUUUGGAUGGUUGCGUUGGAAAUUAUUCUGAAGCCACAGACAGGGCUAAAAAGUCUAGAAUGUCCUACUAAUGGUUGGAACCUGCUGGAGUUCUAAAGGCAUGCGAUGUCCUGAAUGUGCUUGACCGAUGGACACAGCAGAUGUGCUCCUGAGGUGCUCCCCAUGCCAGGAUCUGCCUGUGGUUUCCUCAAGAGCUACUUGGAUACACCGCAUACCCUUGGAUCCAGCACUGCUAGAGACUCUGCAGAAACUCUGCAACUUUAACUGGAAACCUCUCUACUGUUGCUGUUCCCUUGGAAAAUGACUAUUUGCCACUUCAGCUGCCAAAUAUCUCCUCCCAAUAUGUUCUGUGAGCAUUCAGUCUGCUCAAAGUCUUGUGUAAUGGUGGAUAUAUGAUGCCAUUUGUUUCAAGUUAGGCUCACAUAUCCAUCUAUCUCAGGGGCUACAUGAUUUACUUGCCAUUUUUUAAACUUUUACUUGUAAUUAACAAAUAAUAAUUGUAUAUAUUUAUGGGAUACAAUGUGAUGUUUUCAUAUAUGUAUACAUUGUGGAAUGAUUAUGUCAAGCUAAUUAAAUUAGGCAUCAUCUCAUAUACUUACUUUUCUAUACUGGAAACAUUUAAGGCCUAUUCUUUUAGCAAUUUUGAGAUAUAAAAGACAUUAUUGUUAAUUAUGGUCACCACACUGUGCAAUAGCAUUUGAAAACUUAUUUGUCAUGUCUAACUAAAACUUUGUACUCUUUGACCAAUAUUCUCCCAUUCCCUGUACCCCACCCCUCUCCACCCCACCCUCUGGUAAACAUCAUUCUACUCUCUACCUUUAUAAGUUCAACUUUUUGAAGAUUCUGCAUAUGAGAUUAUACAGUAUUUGUCUUUCUGUGCCAGGCUUAUUUUACUCAGCACAAUGUCCUACAGGUUCAUCAUGUUGUUGCAAAUGACAGGAUUGCCUUCUUUUUUAAGGCUGAAUAGUAUUCCACUGUGUAUGUGUUUUCUAUAGCCAUUCAUCUGUUGAUGGACACUCAAGCCAAUUUCAUACUUGGCUAUUGUGAAUAAGGCUGCAGUGAACAUGGGAAUGCAGAUAUCUCUUCAACAUAUUGAUUUCCAAUCCUCUGGAUAUAUACCCAGUAUUAGGAUCACGUGGUAGACUUAUUUUCAGUUUUUUGAAGCUCCUCCAUGCAGUUUUCCAUAGUGACUAUACUAAUUUACAUUCCCUCCAACAAUGUACAAGGAUUCCCUUUUCUCUACAUCAUUGCCAACCUUGUUAUCCCUUGUCUUUUUUGCUAGUAACCAUUCUAAAAAGUGUGAGGUGAUAGUUCAUUGUCAUUUUAAUUUGCAUUUCCUUGAUGACUAGUAACAUUUAAAAAAUAUCCUAUUGGCCAUUUGUAUGUCUUCUUUUGAGAAAUAUCUAUUUCAGUUUUUUGUCCAUUUUCAAAUUGGGUUACUUGUUUUCUUGCUAUUCAGUUAUGUAUGG
rnacentral:lncRNA from 1 species